rnacentral:rRNA from 1 species
AGAGUUUGAUCAUGGCUCAGAACGAACGCUGGCGGCGUGCCUAACACAUGCAAGUCGAACGAGAAAGUCCUUCGGGAUGAGUAGAGUGGCGCACGGGUGAGUAAUACAUGGGAAUCGUGCCUAAUAGUGGUGGAUAACUGCGGGAAACUGCAGCUAAUACAGCAUAAUGUCUAAGGACGAAAGGGGGCCCCUUAAAAGGCUCUUGCUAGUAGAUCGGCCCAUGUCCCAUUAGCUAGUUGGCGGGGUAAAAGCCCACCAAGGCGACGAUGGGUAGCUGGUCUGAGAGGAUGAUCAGCCACACUGGAACUGAGACACGGUCCAGACUCCUACGGGAGGCAGCAGUGGGGAAUUUUGCACAAUGGGGGAAACCCUGAUGCAGCAACGCCGCGUGAGUGAAGAAGGCCCUUGGGUUGUAAAGCUCUUUCGGCCGGGAAAAAGGGUGAUUGCACUAAUACUGCAGUCAUUUGAUGGUACCGGAAGAAGAAGCACCUGCUAACUACGUGCCAGCAGCAGCGGUAAUACGUAGGGUGCAAGCGUUGUUCGGAAUUACUGGGCGUAAAGGGCGCGUAGGCGGGUUUGCAUGUCGUCUGUGAAAUCCCCGGGCUUAACCUGGGAAUGGCAGGCGAAACUGCAGAUCUUGAGUGCUUGAGAGGUUGGCAGAAUUGCAGGUGUAGAAGUGAAAUUCGUAGAUAUCUGCAAGAACACCGGAGGCGAAGGCGGCUGACUGGCAAGACACUGACGCUAAGGCGCGAAAGCGUGGGGAUCAAACAGGAUUAGAUACCCUAGUAGUCC